rnacentral:rRNA from 1 species
GAUGGACGCUAGCUACAGGCUUAACACAUGCAAGUCGAGGGGAAACGACAUCGAAAGCUUGCUUUUGAUGGGCGUCGACCGGCGCACGGGUGAGUAACGCGUAUCCAACCUGCCCAUCACUUGGGAAUAACCUUGCGAAAGUAAGACUAAUACCCAAUGAUAUCCCACGAAGGCAUCGGAAUGGGAUUAAAGAUUUAUCGGUGAUGGAUGGGGAUGCGUCUGAUUAGCUUGUUGGCGGGGUAACGGCCCACCAAGGCAACGAUCAGUAGGGGUUCUGAGAGGAAGGUCCCCCACAUUGGAACUGAGACACGGUCCCAACUCCUACGGGAGGCAGCAGUGAGGAAUAUUGGUCAAUGGGCGAGAGCCUGAACCAGCCAAGUAGCGUGCAGGAAGACGGCCCUAUGGGUUGUAAACUGCUUUUAUAAGGGAAUAAAGUGGGUCACGUGUGACUUUUUGCAUGUACCUUAUGAAUAAGGACCGGCUAAUUCCGUG